AUGCCCGGUAUCCACACUCCAGGCCCCUGGGGCCGCACCUCCUCUCUCUUUCGACUGCCACACGCGCGGGACCUCCACAUCUACAAGUGGGGUUGGGGGACUGCUCUCCGUCUCGCCAGGGGCCCUGCCUCGACAUUCGCAGAGGACUUGGGGAGUGUGGUGGGGGAGAUCCUAGCUUCAGCCGCACCGCAAAUGCCGCACCCGCGUCGCGCCACGAGGGAGAGCGUGGGCUCAGCUUGUGGCGCCUGGAGCGUCUGACUAGAACAGAGUUGGGGGAGAGGGUGGAAAUCCCCGGAACAAAGCCACGUCCCCUCAGAGGAACUGAAGAAGACUACUCGAAGAAACUGAGGCAGAGAGCCAGAUGUGUAGAUGGUGAACGAGUAUCUUCCUCCGGAGACCCGCCCCUUUGGCUUGGAGGCUCCGCGGCGUACAGCACCUUUUGCCCCGCCUGAGUCAGCCAAGAGGGGCGCCCUACCCAUCUCCUACACACUCCCCAAACUCCCGGGGCAAGCUGUCCUGACUUCCAGUCUCCGGUCAAAGCGCUCGGAUUCCGCCUUUUCGCUACUAACUUCCUGCCGCCGGCCCCUCCUGUGAGAACCUGCUAGAGCGUGACGUCACUCAGCCCCGUGACUUUACGUUGCUCCUGGCCAGGUGGCCUGAACCUGAAACAACAGUCUCCAAGUACAGGUGUACUCUUGGCCCAUCGCUGGGACUCUGGAAUUGGAGGACAGCAUGGGAUCCCCUUUAUUUAUUCAACAAGGAGCCAUGAAGCACCUACUAUGUGUCAACGCAGUAAAUAGGCAUUAAGUGCCUAUCCUGUGUUCAUUUAAAAAAGAAUCAAGUUCCUACCAAGUGCCACGCCCUGUCCCAAAUACAGAACUGUUUUCAGCAGUGACAGGAUCUCAGAAUUCAGGCACUGCCUUCUCUCCCCUAGAAGACUGGAUGCAACCAACAGCCUACCUUGCCUUUGUCCAUGGCUGUCCUGCUCUUGCUGCCCAUUGACCAGCAAGCCCAGGUUGGGCCCUGCCUGGCAAGUUGGGGCCAAUACUCUAUCUGGUUCUUUUUCUUUUUGAGAGAGAGAGAAACAUUGAUUUGUUGUUCU